GUAGGUGAACCUGCGGAAGGAUCAUUAAAAAGUUUGGCUUCGGCCGACUGCCAAAGCGCGAGCCGCCAGGAACUCCCGUCGCGCUCUUCCGGCCCACCCGGCGAAUCGCGGGUGUGAUCUGUAAACCGGAGCCAGCGUACAACCCCGUACAAUUGCAUCCGAGACAAUUGAAGAGACGGGAGGGAAUGGCCGGCCGGGCCCACGCGUCAACCCUCCGUGAAACGUCCCCUUUGCUUGGGCAGCGCACCAG
rnacentral:misc_RNA from 1 species